ACGGCUACAUCACGUUAAAACACCGCUUCCCGUACGAUCACUGAAGUUAAGCAAUGUCGAGCCUGGUCAAUAACUACAUGGAUGAUCCCUUAGGAAUACCAGGUGCU